rnacentral:rRNA from 1 species
AGCUAGUUGGUGGUGUAAGAGACCACCAAGGCGGCGAUCAGUAACUGGUCUGAGAGGAUGAGCAGUCACACUGGAACUGAGACACGGUCCAGACUCCUACGGGAGGCAGCAGUGGGGAAUUUUCCGCAAUGGGCGAAAGCCUGACGGAGCAAUACCGCGUGAGGGAAGAAGGUCUGUGGAUUGUAAACCUCUUUUCUGAAGGAAGAUAAUGACGGUACUUCAGGAAUAAGCAUCGGCUAACUCCGUGCCAGCAGCCGCGGUAAUACGGAGGAUGCAAGCGUUAUCCGGAAUCAUUGGGCGUAAAGCGUCCGUAGGUGGUUGCACAAGUCUAUUGUUAAAGAGUGGGGCUUAACUCCAUCACAGCAGUAGAAACUGUGAGACUAGAGAGUGGUAGGGGCAGAGGGAAUUCCUGGUGUAGCGGUGAAAUGCGUAGAGAUCAGGAAGAACACCAGUGGCGAAAGCGCUCUGCUGGACCGACUCUGACACUGAGGGACGAAAGCUAGGGGAGCGAAAGGGAUUAGAUACCCCUGUAGUCCCAGCCGUAAACGAUGGAUACUAGGUGUUGUCAGCAUCGACCCUGAUAGUGCCGUAGCUAACGCGUUAAGUAUCCCGCCUGGGGAGUACGCACGCAAGUGUGAAACUCAAAGGAAUUGACGGGGGCCCGCACAAGCGGUGGAGUAUGUGGUUUAAUUCGAUGCAACGCGAAGAACCUUACCUGGGCUUGACAUCUCUGGAAGACUGGUGAAAGCCGGUUGUGCCUUAGGGAACCAGAAGACAGGUGGUGCAUGGCUGUCGUCAGCUCGUGUCGUGAGAUGUUGGGUUAAGUCCCGCAACGAGCGCAACCCUCGUGCUUAGUUACCAGCAUUAAGUUGGGGACUCUAGGCAGACUGCCGGUGACAAACCGGAGGAAGGUGGGGAUGACGUCAAGUCAGCAUGCCCCUUACGUCCAGGGCUACACACGUACUACAAUGCUUAAGACAGAGAGCAGCCAACCUGCGAAGGGGAGCAAAUCUCACAAACUUAGGCACAGUUCAGAUUGCCGGCUGCAACUCGCCGGCAUGAAGUCGGAAUCGCUAGUAAUCGCAGGUCAGCAUACUGCGGUGAAUCCGUUCCCGGGCCUUGUACACACCGCCCGUCACACCAUGGGAGCUGGUCACGCCCGAAGUCGUUACCCCAACCGUAAGGAGGGGGAUGCCGAAGGUAGGACUGGUGACUGGGGUGAAGUCGUAACAAGGUAGCCGUACCGGAAGGUGUGGCUG